GGGGCUGAUUGGGCUCGAUUCAGGUAUGUCGGGUGCUGGCAGCAUGCCGAGGUUGUAAGGAGGCCUCGUAAAACACCUUACACCAUACAAACGCUGAAAAUCAAAGAUUGCUAGAGAAGGCAAACGCGAUCGUUGCGCCUAUAAUGGGUGCUCCAGUCGUUAUGCCGAUGCUGGCAGGCGUUCGUUAAGCCUUAGUUCACUCGCUGAGCUAAGCCGCUAUCGGGUGAGUCUGCGCAUCUGAAUAGCGCGCUAGCAGACUGGUCCUGGUUUUCGCCUCUGGAGCCGGGAUGAGAUAGAAAGAGGAUGGUCCCGUAAGAUCCUGUCUAUUGGAGAUUGCGGGAUGACGAUAAAAAACAGACUAAGCAUGUAGCGGCUUUCACUUCUCUACUUGAGGACGCGGGUUCGAUUCCCGCCAGCUCCACCA
rnacentral:tmRNA from 1 species